UUUAAUGGAGAGUUUGAUCCUGGCUCAGAAUUAACGCUGGCAGAGUGCAUAACACAUGCAAGUCGAGCGGUGCUUGCAGCGUAUCGCAAGCAUAGCGGCAGACGAGUGAGUAGCACGUAAACAACCUUCCCCUGAAAGGCGAAUAACGCCGCGAAAGCGGUGCUAAUACGCCGUACUAUCCCUUGGGGGCAUCUCCAGGGGCUGAUAGGUCCGCAAGGGCCGUUCAGGGAGGGGUUUGCGGCCCAUCAGCUAGUUGGUGAGGUA
rnacentral:rRNA from 1 species